rnacentral:rRNA from 1 species
AAGUAUAUGCAUAUUUUAUAUGUAGAAACUGCGAACGGCUCAUUAAAACAGUUAUAAUCUACUUGACAUUUUCUAUAUAAGGAUAACUACGGAAAAGCUGUAGCUAAUACUUGCUUUAGCACUCUUGAUUUAUUUCUUGAGUGUGUACUUGUUAAGCCUUAUAAGAAAAGAGUUAUUAACUUAAGGAAUUAUAACAAAGAAGUAACACGUAAUGGAUCAUUCCAUUUUUAGUGUGUAUCAAUCGAGUUUCUGACCUAUCAGCUUUUGAUGUUAGGGUAUUGGCCUAACAUGGCUAUGACGGGUAACGGGGAAUUAGAGUUCGAUUCCGGAGAGGGAGCCUGAGAAAUAGCUACCACAUCUAAGGAAGGCAGCAGGCGCGUAAAUUACCCAAUUCUAAAGAAGAGAGGUAGUGACAAGAAAUAACAAUACAAGGCCAAUCUGGCUUUGUAAUUGGAAUGAUGGGAAUUUAAAACCUUCCCAAAAUUCAAUUGGAGGGCAAGUCUGGUGCCAGCAGCCGCGGUAAUUCCAGCUCCAAUAGCGUAUAUUAAAAUUGUUGCAGUUAAAACGCUCGUAGUUGAAUUUCAAAGAAUCGAUAUUUUAAGUAACGCUUCUAGCUAUAAAUCCACAUAACUGAUGCCUCCGCGUAUCGACUUUGUGCGCAUUUUAGCUAUUAUGUGUUCUUUUAAUUAAAAUGAUUCUUUUUAAGAUUCAUCUAUUAAGAAUUUGCUUCGGCACAAUUUUUUUUGAUGAUCUUGUUACUUUGAGUAAAUUAGAGUGUUCAAAGCAAACAGAUAUAGCAUUUGUGCGUUUGAAUACUACAGCAUGGAAUAACAAAAUUGAACAAGUCAGAAUUUUUUUGUUCUUUUUUCUUAUUUUGGCUUAGUUACGAUUAAUAGGAGUAGCUUGGGGGCAUUUGUAUUCAGAUGUCAGAGGUGAAAUUCUUAGAUUUUCUGGAGACAAACAACUGCGAAAGCAUUUGCCUAAAAUACUUCCAUUAAUCAAGAACGAAAGUUAAGGGAGUGAAGACGAUCAGAUACCGUCGUAAUCUUAACCAUAAACUAUGCCGACUAGGCUUUGGAUGAAAGAUUUUAAAAUAAGAGUUUUUCUUUUCUCUCCGGAGAUUAGAACUCUUAGAUUGCUUCCUUCAGUGCCUUAUGAGAAAUCAAAGUCUUUGGGUUCUGGGGCGAGUAUUCGCGCAAGCGAGAAAGUUAAAAGAAUUGACGGAAGGGCACCACCAGGCGUGGAGCUUGCGGCUUAAUUUGACUCAACACGGGAAAACUCACUAGUUUAAGACAAGAGUAGGAUUGACAGAUUAAUAGCUCUUUCUUGAUUUCUUGGAUGGUGAUGCAUGGCCGUUUUUAGUUCGUGAAUAUGAUUUGUCUGGUUAAUUCCGAUAACGAACGAGAUCUUAACCUGCUAAUUAGCGGCAAAUACGAUAUAUUCUUAUGUAGAAUUGAAUAUAGUGGAUUUGUUGGAUUUUGAAGAAAAUAUUGGAAUUACGUUAAAUGUGAUUCCUUUCCCUUUUCUACUUAAUUUACAUUUCCAUCUAUUUCUUUUUUGCGUAUGAAUGUAUUUGCUUGAUUGUAAAGCUUCUUAGAGGAACGAUGUGUGUCUAACACAAG